UUUUAAUUUGUUUUGUGUGCACCGGCGGCCUCUCACAUACCCUAAAGUAGCUUGAUAGUUUCCAUAUUGCAUAUUCACAUUCUUCGCAGCCUCUCUUACAAAACUCUCUCAGCUUUGUUUUGGAUCUGAGCGAGAGAGGUUGAAAAACUAUUUGCCGAAUCAUCUAACAUGAGUUUCCAUAGCUUUUACAAGAGAGCUUUUAGCUUGUUCAAGGCUUACCCUUCUGCUUCCAAGCUUCUUGUUGUCAGCACCUUCAGCGGUGGUGGUGUACUGGUGUAUUCGGACUCGAGUCCAUUGAGACGUUUAUUACACGCAGACGCAACUCUUGAUGAAAAUGGCCAACCAAUAAGGAAGAAGAAGGUGGUCGUUCUCGGGAGUGGAUGGAGCGGCUACAGCUUCUUGAAUUACUUGAACAACCCUAACUAUGAUGUUCAAAUUGUCUCUCCUCGUAACUUUUUCCUCUUCACUCCUCUCUUGCCAAGUGUUACCAAUGGCACUGUUGAAGCUCGUAGCAUUGUUGAACCCAUUCGUGGUCUUAUGCGCAAGAAAGGAUUUGAGUACACAGAAGCAGAGUGUGUCAAGAUUGAUGCAUCGAACAAGAAAAUCCACUGCCGGUCCAAGGAUGGGUCAAGUCUUAAGGGCACGGCUGAGUUUGACAUGGACUAUGACAUUUUAGUCAUAGCUGUUGGAGCUAAGCCUAACACAUUCAACACCCCUGGAGUUGAGGAACAUGCCUAUUUCCUCAAAGAAGCGGAGGAUGCUCUUAACAUCCGUCAUUCAGUCAUCGACUGUUUCGAGAGAGCCUCUCUUCCGAAUCUAACUGAAGAAGAGAGGAAAAAGAUUCUGCAUUUUGUUGUGGUUGGUGGUGGACCAACUGGGGUCGAGUUCUCAGCUGAGCUUCAUGAUUUCUUAGUCGAUGAUGUGGCUAAGAUAUACCCAAAGGUCCAAGAGUUCACAAGAAUCACUCUUCUUGAAGCAGGCGACCACAUUCUCAACAUGUUUGACAAGAGGAUCACUGCUUUUGCCGAGGAAAAGUUCCAAAGAGACGGUAUUGAUUUGAAGACAGGGUCAAUGGUUGUGGGAGUGACUGCGGAUGAGAUAUCCACAAAGGAAAGAGAAACUGGCAAAGUUGUCUCUGAACCUUAUGGUAUGGUUGUGUGGUCAACAGGAAUUGGUUCACGUCCUGUCAUCAGAGACUUUAUGCAGCAGAUUGGUCAGGGGCAGAGGCGUGUGUUGGCAACUGAUGAAUGGCUUAGAGUGGAGGGUUGCGACAGUGUGUAUGCUUUAGGUGAUACUGCAACGAUCAACCAACGCAGAGUCAUGGAAGAUAUAGCUGCGAUUUUCAGCAAAGCAGACAAGGGAAAUACAGGAACAUUGAACAAGAAAGAUUUCAAUGGGGUGGUGAAAGACAUUUGCCAGAGGUACCCUCAGGUGGAGCUCUACUUGAAGAAGAAUAAACUGAAGAACAUUGCACAGUUGCUCAAGAGUGCAAAUGGUGAGGACACACAAGUAAAUAUCGAAAAGUUUAAGCAAGCCCUCUCUGAAGUGGAUUCGCAGAUGAAGAACCUUCCAGCAACUGCACAGGUAGCAUCACAACAAGGGAAGUACCUCGCAAAGUGCUUUAACCGAAUGGAGAAGUGUGAGAAGAAGCCAGAGGGGCCGUUGAGGUUCAGAGGAGAGGGUCGACACAGGUUCCAACCAUUCAGUUCCUUAAUAACCGACGAGAUCACACUACACAACCACUUCCUUGUUCCUCUUCCCUUUCUCUGUUUGUGUGGCGGCUAUAUGAUAUUCCAAUGUACAAGAUGCUGAUUUGGAUCAAUUUGAAAAUAAAGGAUUUUUGACCGUUGGACUAUUGGACCUUUCAUUAUUAGAUGGCCAUUAGGCGUUUAAUAAGGCCCAACCAUUCGACUCAUCACUAUACUUACUCCAUCGCUAGGGAUUUCAUCUACAAUUUUAUGCCCUCUGGAUGAUCAACAACAAUCAGGGACGUUGUUAUCAACCUUUGCUUAAGCCAAGAAGAUGAAUCUAAUCUAACGAGCAUGAGAAGAACAUUCUCUGGCCCAUUGCUAUGCACACUAAAUUCCUUUACUCCAUCCUCGUUUUGCCGAUGAAGGAUUACCUCAACUUAUCUAGGAGAUCUGACUAUGGACCAGCCGUUGGUGAAGAUUUGAGUUUGUCGUCUCUCUUGCUUAACAUUUCCUCCAUCACUGGAGUUUGAUUUUUGUUUGAAUAAAAUGAUGAUUUCGUUCUGCUGAUCAGUUGAUCUACCGGAAGGCAAGGUAGAUAUUGCUCGGGAA